AGCGUUGUGGUUUAAUUCGAUGAUACACGAAGAACUUACCAGGGUUUGACAUGCUAGUGUAGGGAUCCGAAAGGUGACCGACCCUCGGGGAGCUAGCACAGGUGCUGCAUGGCUGUCGUCAGCUCGUGUCGUGAGAUGUUCGGUUAAGUCCGCUAACGAGCGCAACCCUUGCUGUGUGUUACAUGUGUCACACGGGACUGCCGGUCUUAAACGGAGGAAGGUGGGGAUGACGUCAAGUCAGCAUGGCCUUUAUGUCCUGGGCUACACACACGCUACAAUGGCCGGUACAAUAGGUUGCGAAGCCGCGAGGCGGAGCCAAUCCUCAAAGCCGGCCUCAGUUCAGAUUGCAGGCUGCAACCCGCCUGCAUGAAGAUGGAGUUGCUAGUAACCGCAGGUCAGCUAUACUGCGGUGAAUACGUUCCCGGGGCUU
rnacentral:rRNA from 1 species